GAUGAAGAACGUAGCAAAAUGCGAUACUUGGUGUGAAUUGCAGAAUCCCGUGAACCAUCGAGUUUUUGAACGCAAGUUGCGCCCGAAGCCUUUUGGCCGAGGGCACGUCUGCCUGGGCGUCACGCAUCACGUCGCCCCCCACAAUUCUCCGUAAAGGGAACGUGUGUUUUGGGGGCGGAUAUUGGUCUCCCGUGCUCAUGGCGUGGUUGGCCGAAAUAGGAGUCCUUUCGAUGGACGCACGAACUAGUGGUGGUCGUAAAAACCCUCGUCUUUUGUUUCGUGCUGUUGCUCGCAAGGUAAACUCUUUAAAAACCCCACCGUGUCGUCUCUUGACGACGCUUCGACCGCGACCCCAGGUCAGGCGGGACUACCCGCUGAGUUUAAGCAUAUCAAUAAGCGGAGGA
rnacentral:misc_RNA from 1 species